rnacentral:rRNA from 1 species
UGGGGAAUAUUGCACAAUGGAGGGAACUCUGAUGCAGCGACGCCGCGUGAACGAAGAAGGCUUUCGAGUCGUAAAGUUCUUUUAUAUGGGAAGAUAAUGACGGUACCAUAAGAAGAAGCCCCGGCUAACUACGUGCCAGCAGCCGCGGUAAUACGUAGGGGGCUAGCGUUGUCCGGAAUCACUGGGCGUAAAGGGUUCGCAGGCGGAAAUGCAAGUCAGGUGUAUAAGGCAGUAGCUUAACUACUGUAAGCAUUUGAAACUGCAUAUCUUGAGAAGAGUAGAGGUAAGUGGAAUUUUUAGUGUAGCGGUGAAAUGCGUAGAUAUUAAAAAGAAUACCGGUGGCGAAGGCGACUUACUGGGCUCAUUCUGACGCUGAGGAACGAAAGCGUGGGUAGCAAACAGG